CUGCCCCCCCCCCAGGUCCAGAGUUGUCUGUCUGUCAGGACUGGCCCCCCCAGGUCCAGAGUUGUCUGUCCCUCCCUCUACAUAUCACGUGAUUACCAUAUAUUAACUGUAUAUCUGAACCUUUUAAAGUCGUGUCCUGCGGUCUGAGUGAGUACGGUGGGGAGGACAGUGGUGGUUAUCUGAGGGGGUGGCGUGACGGAGAAGGGAACAUCCAUGUUAAAUUCCCUCUUAUUGGUGGAAACCCGCUGCCCUGUCCAAUGGGAGGCCUCGUGGUUGGUGGGUGAUUUCCUAUCGAUCUCCCUCUGGAUGGGUGUCUGUGUAAAGAAAGGAGAAAUGUUCAAAAUAAAUGUAUUUUUGUAUAUGAGUGAAGUUGUAAAUAUGUUGAAGUAGCAGAUUUGAUGAGUUGUACCAUGUUUAUCAGUCUGAUAAACUCUGUACAGAAUAAAACUAUCCAGCUAUGA